GUGUCAGCCGCCGCGGUAAUACGUAGGGUGCAAGCGUUGUUCGGAAUUAUUGGGCGUAAAGCGAGUGUAGGUGGCUUGUUAAGUCAGAUGUGAAAUCCCUGGGCUCAACCGAGGAAGUGCAUUUGAAACUAGCGAGCUGGAGAGUGGUAGAGGAAGGUGGAAUUCCGUGUGUAGAGGUGAAAUUCGUAGAUACACGGAGGAAUACCGGUGGCGAAGGCGGCCUUCUGGACCAUUUCUGACACUAAGACUCGAAAGCGUGGGGAGCAAACAGGAUUAGAUACCCUGGUAGUCC
rnacentral:rRNA from 1 species